GACGAACGCUGGCGGCGUGCCUAACACAUGCAAGUCGAGCGAGAAGCUUAAGAUUGAGACUUCGGUUGAUUGAUUAAGUGGAAAGCGGCGGACGGGUGAGUAACGCGUGAGUAACCUGCCUUAUGGAGGGGGACAACAGUUAGAAAUGACUGCUAAUACCGCAUAACAUCUCGAGGGGGCAUCCCUUUGAGAUCAAAGCUUUAUGUGCUGAAAGAUGGCCUCGCGUCUGAUUAGCUAGUUGGUGGGGUAACGGCUCACCAAGGCGACGAUCAGUAGCCGGUCUGAGAGGAUGAACGGCCACACUGGAACUGAGACACGGUCCAGACUCCUACGGGAGGCAGCAGUGAGGAAUAUUGGUCAAUGGUCGAGAGACUGAACCAGCCAUGCCGCGUGAAGGUCACGGCCCUAUGGGUCUUAAACUUCUUUUGUUAGGGAGCAAUAAGUCUUACGUGUAGGAUGAUGAGAGUACCUAACGAAUAAGCA
rnacentral:rRNA from 1 species